CGGCUAACUCCGUGCCAGCAGCCGCGGUAAUACGGAGGAUCCAAGCGUUAUCCGGAAUUAUUGGGUUUAAAGGGUCCGCAGGCGGUUUUUUAAGUCAGAGGUGAAAUCCUACAGCUCAACUGUAGAACUGCCUUUGAUACUGAUAGACUUGAGUUAUUGUGAAGUGGUUAGAAUGUGUGGUGUAGCGGUGAAAUGCAUAGAUAUUACACAGAAUACCAAUUGCGAAGGCAGAUCACUAACAAUUUACUGACGCUCAUGGACGAAAGCGUGGGUAGCGAACAGGAUUAGAUACCCUGGUAGUCCACGCCGUAAACGAUG
rnacentral:rRNA from 1 species